CCGGAAGCCGGGCAGAGAUAAUCGCGGAAUGCCAUGAAAUCCAACGGUGUCAUAGUCUCUAAGAUCGACACUUGGUCCACCAAAAGCUGCGAAAAACAAGGGAAAGAAAAUAUUGAAUAUUUCAUAAUGUACGUAUUUUAUGUUUUACCAUCGGUACUUUGUUCGUAUACUAUAACAAGAUAAUUUUAAAGGAGAAACUCUUUCCCAAGUAUACAUAAACAUUGCUUAUCGAUUAGACAGUAGCUAUAUUCGCAGUUAUAUGGUUGCUUCGUGCAGCCACUUAUUGUACUCGUCACUGUGGAUUUACUACGACAGUGAAGUAUCUUAAAGGUGACAAAUCGUUUCUUCGCUUCUUUUUCUUGUAAUCAUACGGAAGUUCAUCGAUGGAUCAAUUAGUGUCAGACUCUUUAUAGAUUUCUUCUAUAAGCCAUGCCAUCAGGAACUUCUCGUUCUCUCGUAUUAAAGUCAAGUUUAUUUUCUUUAAAGAGAAAUGUUCAGCAAUGAUUUCUCAAUGGAUUCAACUCCAUGGAGAAUGGUAUUUUUAUUGUUGAAUCGAAAGGCGGUAGAGAAUAGGAAAUAACCGCAUGCAUGUUUUGCGGUAAGGAAUGAACGGCAAUAAGAUUAUUACUCAAGUUCUUUACGCCUAUAGUUACCCCUACGAGGUGUCACGUAUCAUCUAUGGGUAUUAGUUUACUCAGAGUGCGUGUAUUAUUUCAGUGGUUCCCCGUACAAUAUCGUUUGUGCGUGAGAGACAAUCGUUAAUGUGAAAGGAAGGGAACGAAGAAAGGGGAAAAAAGAAUUUGGUCAUGUGUUGGAUUGGAUAGUCAGAAGAGACUCGAGCUCGGCGCAUAGCAAGAAAUCACCGUUGAUAUUAAUUGUCAGAGGCAUUUGAUUAACUUGACGUAAGGAAAAUUAGAUUAGAAGCCUUGCAAUAACGUAACAUUAUUGUUGUAGUUAAUGAAAUAAUUUUUUCACUAUUCUCACUAUCGUUUAUCUUUUUUCAUCUUAUAGUUAUAUGCAAAUUAAUGUCUUUUUCUCCUUCUUUGUUUUUAUACGAAUUAGUUUCAGAAACGUACUUUCAAUAUAAGAACGAUGCGAUUGAGUCGUCUAAGAAUUUCCAAAGUCCUUGAUUCGUUCAAGAUGUGAACUCCAUUUUGAAUCUUCGAAGUGUGAUUGGUAGUGUUAUAAACAUUUGAGUCGGAAGUGAAGAGUGAUCUGACCGAGUCCAACUCGUAGAUAAUCUGCUUGAACCAUAAUUCGUAUGCUGCGAUAAAAAUGAAAGAAAUGUUAUACGAUUCUUAUUUUUUUUUUCUUUUGUCAUAGAUUUUAUUUAAUAUCAAGGAAAAUCUUUGUAAUACCUUGAUGAGUAACGAUAAAAAGAUGCUCAUCGUGUACUUCUUCAUUGUACUCAGCGCUGAGAAGCCUUUGCGCGGAUAAAAUUUUAUCUAAAUGAAGAUAUUCUCCGUAGAGUAAGCCUGGUCCUUUAGUUAAUUGAGUACCUUCUUGACUCUGAUCAUCUCUAAGAAAAAUAAUGACAAAUCGAUUUUACUCUCUUUGGUAACGGUAAGAACAAUAAAAAAAGAAAUUCAAUACAUCGGUCAAGAUAUAUGAUGUAAGAGAACGAUUAAUUAUAAGUAUAAUAUUUUUGUCUAAUCUAAUCUAAUCUUUUUUAGGAUUUUUUUCAUUGUUAUCUACAUAGUAUGAGCCAGGAGAAGAUCUAAUGUUAUAUCGAUUUUUUACGUAUUAGAUCUAAAAAAAUCCUUUUAAAUAUAAGCAUAUAUAUGCGGGUAAAUGAUCCACGAUAAGAGGAUAAAAAAAGAAACAGAAUGUUAUUUAGAAAAGUGAUGUUUUAGUUCACAGAGUUAUCGCUAGAUGACGCAUGAAAGUAUUAACUCAUCGAGGGACCGAUAGAUGGCGAUGUUAUCAGGUUCACCGAGUUACCGAUCACAAAAAUUAUUUAUAAAUCAGUAGAGUAUUAACAUUUGAAGAGGAUAGACGUGAGUAUCAAUUACGGAUUCCAUAUAAUUAUGUAGUAUUAUUCUGUGCUUUCAUUAAUUUUGAAACAUCGAUUAUACAUAGGUAAUAAUAUCAUUUGUUAAUACAAUCAUUAAACUGAUAUACGAUCGUAAUAAUUAUCAUAGGAUACAAUCGUAAAAACGAACAAUUUAUUUGAGUUGGUAUGUAUCAUUGGUGUUUUUAUAAUAAACGAAAAUAUAUUCUAGAUAAACGAAAUUCAAUCUCGUUAUCGUAAUUGAAUGUGUUAUACUAUAUUACGAAGUACCAUAAGAAUAUUAUUGCUAUAAAUUAUUCAAAUUAACCUAUCAAGCACAUUCAAAGAUCAAAAACUCAGGAACAUAGAGGGAGCGACGAUCUUUCUUUUUCUACGUAUUAUCGUUCCCGUCCUCAAUGUAUGUACACAUAAUAUUUACAUCUAUUGCAGCAUAAAAAAGCAUUGUGAGGAACUUGUAUAAAAUGUAUACUCGUAAUUGCGAUCUAGAUAGCUCUAAUUUCUCCUACUAAAAUGGCUGACCGACUUCAUUUUACUUGUAUCUUUUCUAGGCAACAUCCGAGGAGAUGUUCUCCGUUGCACAACUUUUUCAUCUCGUGCAUUUUAUAUUUUAAUUACAGAUAAGAUAUGUAGACAAACGAAACGAAACAUACACUGGUCUUAUUUCCGCAGUCCUUCUUGAAUUGCGUUAAAAAAAGUCGUAUAAAAGGACUGGAAAGAAAAACAAUAUAAUAUUUAUAAUUCCAUCCCUGCAAUAGAAAUUAUACGAACAGUUGAUUAUAAGAUAUCAUCGUAUAAUUAAUAUUAUUACUAAUUUAAUUAACAAUUACAGAUGCUCGUAUUUCGAUUUUACGAAUGUAAGUACGAAGUAUCAUUUCAGUCGAUUCAAUCAAUUGUAACAUAAUCAAUCGAAUAGUUUUCACUCAUAUAUCUUAUAUACGUUUCAAAUUUCGCGAGUUGCAAAGAUGAGAAAUGUUUCCGUAUAUUUAGAUGCGUUGGGAUUGACGUAGAAAUUAUUCAUACGAUUCGCAGUUGCGGACGGUCUUAUCUUUUUCAUUUUUGCAUUAAUCGAGUCGAUCAUGAAACUGUCGAAGGAGAUACGUAAUA